GUUCUAAGAGAAUCCAAUGGCAGAUCAACGGUGAGAUCGCGUCCGAUUGAUGUGAAAUUUCAGCAAGACGAUCAUGGAGCCAGGACGAUUAUAUCUUACGAUCAGAAUCAUAAAUAAAAUUCGGACGAUAAAUCGUUAACAACCUAACAUAGUCUUGGCGAGAAAAUAAUUGAAGCUGAAAUGGAGUCGACGCUAACGUAGAGCUUUGGCUGACCUGAAACCCCGAGUAGAGCCGAAUAAAUUAUAUUAUUUUAUAUAAUAGCUAUUAAGGACUUUAUAAUUUCAUUUAAUGUUGUAUUUGGAUAAUUUUAAGUUUUUAUCUAUUGUUAUUUGGACGUUUGGUUAUGUACGAGAGUUGGAUUACCCUGUUAAGAUGUCAACUUUUUAGUUUAUUAAGUCAUUUUGUUUA